AUCCAGCUGACGAGUCCAAAAUAGGACGAAACGCACGUCAAACUGGAU
rfam:Schistosoma haematobium scaffold1242_18, whole genome shotgun sequence.